rnacentral:piRNA from 1 species
GUUGGGAUCAUGGCGGAGAAUCACU